rnacentral:lncRNA from 1 species
AUGGGCUUCUACCCUAGCAGACCGAGCGCUGGAGGCCGCUCCACGCGCGAGCUCGAACCACGGAGGGCUCUCAGCUCGGACAAGCGUCGCUGUCUAAGAGCUCCAAGCUCCACGGAACUUUGAUUUUAUGCCCGGGAGCCCGGUCAUCCACUUCUGCAUCUCAGACAAGCGCCGGAGGCUCGUGCAGCUUCCUCGCGUCCUCUUCCUGGACGCGGGGCGCCCACCUUAGUCAUAGCCCCUGGUCCCGGCACUGCUCACGCCGUCGGUUUCCCCACUGCCCAGGCUCCCUCAGCCCGAACCCUGCGUCUCUGUUCACAUUGGAACACCCCCUCACCUCAUCUCAGCUUGCUUUUACCGAGGUGUGUGUGUGUGUGUGUGUGUGUGUGUGUGUGUGUGUGUGUGUGUACAUAGCGCGCGCGCUCUAGGCUAGAAAGAAGGUAACGAAAAAGUAGCUUCGGUCUCCUGCAGCUUGGAUCCCACUACCAAGUCCGACCAUAUUCAGUAUUUGAGAUUACAGUUUGCAGCAAGGACCAAGGCAGGGGUUCACCGGAUCAUUUCAACUGAGUUUCAAUGCAGCAAGGAUUGUUUAUCAUUAUUGCUAAGACUGACAAAAAUAGGCCAAAAAUAAAGAACAGUUGCAUAGAAAGAAGGGACAGCAUUUUAGCAGUGAUCAGGAACUAAAAGUGUUUGGAAUGGAUUUCUCGAACAAGAGCAUCCACGAUGGAUAAAGGUGAAAGCCGCAGACUCUCACAAAACCGUUUCAGUACGUGAUGGGAUUAAAAAAUAGGACCAUGCUUUUCAACAUAGACUACCCAUUAGUUCUCCGUUAAAUGCACUAAACCAGCCCCAUGGAAUGAUUACAUGGCAGCCUUUUAAUGUACAAACACGAGGAUUCUAAAACGGAUGCACACAACCCGUUUAUAGAACUCCCUCUGUACACACACACACACACACACACACAUUCAUAAA